GCCAUCGGAUGUGCCCAGAUGGGAUUAGCUUGUUGGUGGGGUAACGGCUCACCAAGGCGACGAUCCCUAGCUGGUCUGAGAGGAUGACCAGCCACACUGGAACUGAGACACGGUCCAGACUCCUACGGGAGGCAGCAUG
rnacentral:rRNA from 1 species